UCUACAAAAAGACAAAGAGAAGUGUGGCUUUUGUUGUGCCUGCAAAAUUCCCGCUUAUAAAAUGAAGAAAGGACAAGAGAGGGAAAGAGAGCAACAAACUCAGUACCCCAUUGUUCCGGAAAGCUAAUAGCAACAACUAGAGCCACCCGAAGAAAAGAUAGCAGACAUGAAGAAGGAACUGAAGUGAGACACUUGAAUAAAAUUCUACAGAGAUCUAUUCUUUUAUAUACUUGUGACACCCAGUUUGCUACACUUUAUCAACCAUACUGUACUAGAAACCAGGAGGCUACAAGUUAAUUGGGUGAUGUCGGGCUAGUCAUUCUCUCUCAGUCCAACCCACUUGAUUGGGAUGCUGUUAUGGGGAAAACAGACAGAAAAAGCACGAUGUAGACUGCUUUGAGAGUUGCACAAAAUAAAUGCAGGAUACAAAGUUAAUAAAUAAUUUACUUUCUUCGACA